CUCCAAAUAGACAAACCACCUUCCCUUCCAGACGUACCGCACACGGUGACCUCCUCGCUAUAGCAGGUGGAGACGUGACUGAUGUUUGGCAACUGUUUGAGGUGCUUCCUGGUCUCAUGCAGAAGGUUUAAGACAUAGCGAGCGUGGAGCUGCUACUAGGAGAAAGCGAAGGGAUUAAAGCGGGAAAUCAGUGACCUCUGAGCAGCAAUGCGGCUCUUGUCUGCAAAGGACCCAAGGGCCCACCACGAUAGCCUGGAUGGCAGGAACUCAUUGGGACAACGCUCGGUGCUGACCUACGGGCUUACAAACAAGAUGAGGCAAAUACUGGACAACAGCAGGACAGAAGAGACUUGCCCAAAGCAGCCAGCCCAGGCUCGGCACUGGCAGGGCUGGCAAGAGAACCCAGAAGCCCUGGCACCCCGUGGUCAAGGCUCUAAGCCGCUACACAACACCGCCUCCUACAGCCCGGUAUCACAGCACUAGGAGCUGCAGAGCGCAAAAAGGGAAGAGCUAUUGCUUUUGUGCAGCUGAGGAACUGAGUCACGGUGAAGUCGUGGGCAAGAAGCUGUUAUCUUCUCAAGCCUGUCGGUCUUCUGCCUGACAGCUGAGACUCCUUGUCAUGGGAUACGGAAAGACAUCACCUCACCUCAAUACUAUGAAGAAAACCAGGUAUCUUGGAAAAGAAACAUCCGCUGCAACCUUCCAACGGCAUGUGCAGGAGCAGACAGGAAAAGAUUACUUUUCAAAGAAUCACUCACCAUUUUCAGACUUCU